rnacentral:rRNA from 1 species
UACGUGAGGUGCAAGCGUUAAUCGGAAUUACUGGGCGUAAAGCGUGCGCAGGCGGUUUUGUAAGUCUGUCGUGAAAUCCCCGGGCUCAACCUGGGAAUGGCGAUGGAGACUGCAAGGCUAGAGUUUGGCAGAGGGGGGUAGAAUUCCACGUGUAGCAGUGAAAUGCGUAGAUAUGUGGAGGAACACCGAUGGCGAAGGCAGCCCCCUGGGUCAAAACUGACGCUCAUGCACGAAAGCGUGGGGAGCAAACAGG